AAUUCUCAACCUUUUCGGCUUUUUCUAAGUUGAUCAGGCUUGGAUGUGGGAGUUUGCGGGCUUCUCUGAAGUCGGCUCUCCUUAAAUUCAUUAGUAGGGACCUCUGUUGCCUUAGCUUUUGGUGUGAUAAUUAUCUACGCCAUCAUGUGAAGCAGCUUUAAAUUGGAGGUUACUGCUUUCUAACCGUCUCCCAUGGGACAUUUUCUGACA
rnacentral:misc_RNA from 1 species